rnacentral:lncRNA from 1 species
CGAGGUCGAAUUGGAGGGAAUCGCCGUCGACUGGCCUCAGAAGCCGACAUAGAAGUGCAUCGAUGAUCUGUCCUGAGUACUGCACCUCUCGCAACUGGUAUAGUGGCCACAAGAAGGACUGUCAUAGCAUAUCUCUGUGCUGAUCAUCGAGCAACUCCAACACAGCAGUAAAACUCUCAAAGCUACUGUUCCAAGUAGCCUUCCCCGCCAUCCGUCUCAACUCCCCAUCUAAAUGAUACUCCAUCC